AUACGGAGGAUGCAAGCGUUGUUCGGAUUUACUGGGCGUAAAGAGCGUGUAGGCGGUUUAGCAAGUCAGAUGUGAAAGCCCCGGGCUCAACCCGGGAAGUGCAUUUGAAACUGCUUCACUAGAGUAUGGGAGAGGAGAUUGGAAGUCCUGGUGUAGAGGUGAAAUUCGUAGAUAUCAGGAGGAACACCCGUGGCGAAGGCGAUUCUCUGGACCAAUACUGACGCUGAGACGCGAAAGCGUGGGGAGCAAACAGGAUUAGAAACCCCAGUAGUCC
rnacentral:rRNA from 1 species